UACAGAGGGGGCAAGCGUUAUUCGGAAUUAUUGGGCGUAAAGGGCGCGUAGGCGGCUUGGCAAGUGGAUGGUGAAAGCCCUCGGCUUAACCGAGGAACUGCCCUCCAAACUGUUUGGCUUGAGACCGGGAGAGGUGAGUGGAAUUCCCAGUGUAGCGGUGAAAUGCGUAGAUAUUGGGAGGAACACCAGUGGCGAAGGCGGCUCACUGGACCGGUACUGACGCUGAGGCGCGAAAGCGUGGGGAGCAAACGGG
rnacentral:rRNA from 1 species